rnacentral:lncRNA from 1 species
UCAUUUUAUACAUUAAACUAAGGUGCACUGACUCCCAGUCCAUCGCCUUUUUGGUAUCUUUAUGGGAGUAAAAUGUGGCAAGCUUUUUUCCAGCCUCAAAGACUGUCUCAGAGUAAAAGUUUAAGAAGUACUGCUCUAAAUAAUUUUAUUAAAUAUGCCUUAUUAGAUGAGGAAAACUGAAAUAUUUUUAUACAAGCCUUUUGCUGUAGAACAAUGGGACAGAAUAAAGGUAGCUCACAAAAUAAGGGAACAUUUCUUGCCUGUUCUUUUUUUUCCCUCCAAAUUCUUCUGUACAGGUCCAGAUAGAUGGGCUAUGUUUCCUUUCUAUUAACUGAGGAGAGAGAGAUGAAAGGACUGGAGCAUGUCAUCACUGUCUUAAAUGUACUGAAAUUCUAACAGCUCUAGCUGAAAAAAUGUCCAAAGCAGGCCGUGAAAAUAAAUUUAAAUGACAAACUCCAAAAUGAUCUAUGCUAGAAUCCCAAGGCUGUCAGGGAAAACUGGUUCCAUGGAAGAAGGUAGUCAAAGAAAUAAGCAGAUCAGAUGACCUAGACCCUCACCCAAUAUGCGCGAUGUACUUGGGGAGAAAGUAACCUCUUUCCUUUAUUCACCUACAUAGGUUCGUGAGCCACACAUCUCCCCACACCAAGCUCCUCCAUACAAGACCUCGGACUGCAUCACGUAAAUGCUUUUUCAGGGGCAAAAUCUAGAGAAUCUGAAACGAGCUAUCAGCUUCCCAGUUUGCACAAUUCAUCAAGAAAUUAUGCGGGGUCACUGGCACAAAUGAUGAGGCAUCUCCUGGAAGCUUAACUUCUUAUCCAUCCCAUCUCUUGGACAGAUGAUGCCAGUUAAUUACUUUGAAUGGGUCUGUCACACGCAGCCCAACUCAACUGGAGUCCUGAGAAGGUGAACAGACCAGGAUGGAUGGCCAGGGAACUCACCAGAAGUCCCCAGGCAUCAGAACAAGGUCGAAGCAUCCUG